AUUGAACGCUGGCGGCAGGCCUAACACAUGCAAGUCGAAUGGUAACAGGAAACAGCUUGCUGUUUCGCUGACGAGUGGCGGACGGGUGAGUAAUGUCUGGGAAACUGCCUGAUGGAGGGGGAUAACUACUGGAAACGGUAGCUAAUACCGCAUAACGUCGCAAGCCCAAAGAGGGGGACCUUCGGGCCUCUUGCCAUCAGAUGUGCCCAGAUGGGAUUAGCUGGUAGGUGGGGUAACGGCUCACCUAGGCGACGAUCCCUGGCUGGUCUGAGAGGAUGACCAGCCACACUGGAACUGAGACACGGUCCAGACUCCUACGGGAGGCAGCAGUGGGGAAUAUUGCACAAUGGGCGCAAGCCUGAUGCAGCCAUGCCGCGUGUAUGAAGAAGGCCUUCGGGUUGUAAAGUACUUUCAGCGGGGAGGAAGGGAGUAAAGUUAAUACCUUUGCUCAUUGACGUUACCCGCAGAAGAAGCACCGGCUAACUCCGUG
rnacentral:rRNA from 1 species